UGGGGUAUAGUUCAGUGGUAGAGCACAUGCUUAGCAUGCACAAGGUCCUGGGUUCAAUCCCCAGUACCUCCA
rnacentral:tRNA from 1 species